UACUCAAUUCAUUCCACAGCCUCAGAUCACCAACUGUACAUUGGAGGAUGAAACUGCAGGCUCCCAGGAUUUUCCAUCCAGGGAGGAUCACCCUGUUCUGGACUGCUCUGUUGCUUCCUGCAAGAUAAUCCGCUGUGAUAUUCAGAUGCUGGGGUUCCGGAAAACACCCCUGGAGUUCAGGAUCAAGGGGGACAUCCAUUUUCAGUGGGCAUCUCAGAUCCAGCAAAAGAAAGUGAUUUUGGUGAGCUCGGCAAAGAUCUCUUAUGAUGACAAAAAGUAUUCACAAAAGGAAGGCUUUAUCCAGAC